rnacentral:rRNA from 1 species
AGUGAACGCUGGCGGUAGGCCUAACACAUGCAAGUCGAACGGCAGCACGGUAAGAGCUUGCUCUUACGGGUGGCGAGUGGCGGACGGGUGAGGAAUACAUCGGAAUCUACUUUUUCGUGGGGGAUAACGUAGGGAAACUUACGCUAAUACCGCAUACGACCUACGGGUGAAAGCAGGGGAUCUUCGGACCUUGCGCGAUUGAAUGAGCCGAUGUCGGAUUAGCUAGUUGGCGGGGUAAAGGCCCACCAAGGCGACGAUCCGUAGCUGGUCUGAGAGGAUGAUCAGCCACACUGGAGCUGAGACACGGUCCAGACUCCUACGGGAGGCAGCAGUGGGGAAUAUUGGACAAUGGGCGCAAGCCUGAUCCAGCCAUACCGCGUGGGUGAAGAAGGCCUUCGGGUUGUAAAGCCCUUUUGUUGGGAAAGAAAGGCAGCAGGUUAAUACCCCGCUGUUCUGACGGUACCCAAAGAAUAAGCACCGGCUAACUUCGUG